rnacentral:lncRNA from 1 species
GGAAGGGUCAUCUUAGUCUUUCCUUCUGGGAAGUGGUCUUCAGUGCAAACUCUGGAACUGACUCUUGGGACACAGAAAUCCCUCUCGUGCUAGGAAAAAAUUUCAGUGUAUACAGUUCUAAAGAAGAGACCUGUUUCAACUUGACACUUGUGUGAUUAUAUUUUACCUCUAAAAUUAAAAAAAAAUAUCUAUUUUCUCAAAAAGAAAGUUGGUUUCCUAGAGGGACAUUAAGGGGCUGGUUUGUGGCAUUUCUGGUUUUCCUAAUGUCUUAUGAAUGGUAAUAGAAACAGGCAGCAUCAAACUGUAGCACAAUGAAAACUUGGGCAUGAUAACUCCCUGCCGAAGACUGUAUUUCCUAAAGAAUGCCACAGUAAUGAAUCCUGUUCCAAUGCCCUUCUAUAACUCUGCUACUCCCAUUAAGAGAUGGAAUCUAUGUCCUCACUUCCCUUGAACCUGGGUAUACCCUAUGACUGCCUGAUCCUUACAGUAUUGUGAACAUGUUGCUAUGUGAAUUCUGAAUGUAAAAUUAUAAACAUGCUGUGCAUUUCCACCUGAUCUCUUGGGAUAUUCACUCCCAGAAUAUAGCCAACCAUUGUGUGAGGAAGUCGAAGCAGCAUAUAGAGAAAUCCACUCAUAGAGAAACCAAAGUCCUGGGCUCACAGCCUAACCUGAACUCCCAGUGAACAACCAAGACUCACUGGCCAGCCACGUGAGUGUGCCUGUCCUGUUGAACCUCCGCAGCUGCCUUGUGUGAAGGAGAGAAGAGUCAUCUUCUCUAAACUUUGUUCAGAUAGCAGAACUAUGAGCAAAAUAAACAGCAAUAAAUGUUUUAAAUCAUUAAGUUCUAAGUG